rnacentral:lncRNA from 1 species
CGGGAGGGCAAGAGUUCAGGGAGGGAUCUCUGUAAACAACAGAACUCAGGAGAGGAAGGGAAGCAAGCAGGUGGGACUGGUGCGAGAGAAGACUCUGGAAGCUGCUCAGCUUUCCCCACCCCUAAAGGGGCAGGAUGACGCACCAAGAGCAAGGCGGACUGACCAGCAGCUUUCAGGACGGCACUGAAACCUUCCCACUCCAACCACAGCCCAUUUAUAACCAGUCCGUGCUACAGACCACUCACCCUCGGUCCUGACCCAAGAGGAGCCCCGCCCCAAUCAGAAUGGGUGGUGGCAUCAGAGAUGGUGAGUUUUGUGAAUAUGGAAAAGGAGAGACGGAACGGUUCCUGCGUUGCGCAUUGAAGAGUUCCAACUCCUCUCUAAGAAUCAACCAAGAGAAAUGCUGGAAAUGCUCCUGAUUCCCUAGAUUCAUUGCUUCCCACCCUCAGGAUACACAAAGUGCCUAGAUCUGAACACGUAGAAUGAGCCUUUGGCUGGACCCUCCUGGCCCUCCACUCACUUGGGCAGGGAGGAAUCAGGACUGAUGCAGCCUCAGGCAGGAGCUGAGAUUCCCUGUCCUUUGGGCCACUAGUUUGAGUUGGGGAGGGAGCAGCCAGGUUAAGCAGGUCAAAAAUUCUUAAGCAUGGGAGGAAGGCAGGAAGCAAGGUGGCACUAUGAUCUAGUAGUGCUGCUCAAACUUUAAUGUGCAUAUAAAUUACUUGGGGAUCUGCUAAAUUGAGGUUUUGAUCCAGUAGACCUGAAGUGGGGCCUAAGACUCUGCAUUUCUAACUAGCUCCCAGGUGGUGCUGAUGCUGCUGGUCCAUGGAGCAGCAAGGCUCUCAGAGAACUGAAGCCUCAGAGGCCCCAGAGUGUUGCAGACCAAGCCAUGAUCCCAGGAUUUGAAUUCUCUCCAGCAGAGCAGAUCCUGUAUUUUUGGCAUUGAUGAAGGGUGCUCUCCUUUUGACCAAAGAAAGCUGGAAGGUGGGCAAUUAGCAAGAUCCUUCUGGUAUUCUUGAUCUUUGUAACAACCUGCUAUAGCUGAAAGAGCAUUUUUAAUUAGACCAAAUUAUCUGGUUUGGCUGUCCAUAGAAAUCAAAGCCCCAGCUGAAAUGUCUUUCAUUUUGUUGGUGUAGAGAUGGCUAAGUGCUGUGAUUUUUAAGAUGUUAAGCACUGCCUGCGGGCAUAUUUUAUGGAGAAAUAAACACACAGCCCAAUGAGAUGUAUAGUGUGGUUUUAAUAUAUUGUAUAUUCGCUUAUUUAUGGGGAAAAUAAAUACACAAGCCAAUAAGCUGUGUAUUAUUACUUUAAUAUAUUGAAUGUAUUUCAUACCUAUAUAUUUUAUGAGGGAAAAUAAACUAGAAGAUACAUGAUAUUAUUAUAAUAACACAUCUAAUUGUUCUAUAUUAAUUUAUUUAUGAAGAAAUAAGUGCAACUUAACAUGACAUAAGAUUAUUUAAUGCAGGAGAUGAAUUCUAUAUUAAGACAGUUUAAGGGA